rnacentral:lncRNA from 1 species
AUGAAAGCUGAUGUUGAGCUGACACAUGGGAGCUACCAUCUGAAGGAAAGUGUUUAUGGAUUGUCAGGGUCUAACGUGAGCUGGGCCACAUCUUGCACUGGAGAAGCCAACAAGGUUCCUGUGCUGCAUACCACAAGAACUGAAGUUGAUCCAAACCCAGAGGCAACCACAUAUCAAGAACAAAGUGAAAACCAGCAAAGGUUCUAAGAACUAAGCAAAGAACCAAACCAGUAGCUACCUUCUGAUGACAGAAUUUUAAUGGUGGAUUUUUACUGCAUGGCUAAGCCCUAAAUUCAUCUACAUAGUGAGAAUACAGCUAUAACCUGUAGAGACUAAAUACUCAGGAGUUAAGCUUCAUUACCUGAACAUAAUCUGGAAUAAAAAGUUAGCAAUACUAACUGGUACCA